rnacentral:rRNA from 1 species
UUCGAUGCAACGCGAAGAACCUUACCGGGACUUGACAUGUUAGAAGUAGGGACCCGAAAGGGCGACGAACGGUACCCAGUCCGUAACUUUCACAGGUGUUGCAUGGCUGUCGUCAGCUCGUGUCGUGAGACGUUGGGUUAAGUCCUAUAACGAGCGAAACCCUUAUCUUUAGUUUGCCAUCAGGUAAUGCUGGGGACUCUAGAGAGACCGCCGUCGUUAAGACGGAGGAAGGUGGGGAUGACGUCAAGUCAUCAUGGCCCUUACGUCCCGGGCCGCACACGUGCUACAAUGGCAGGUACAAAAGGAAGCAAGACCGCGAGGUGGAGCGAAACCGAUAAAGCCUGUCCCAGUUCGGAUUGGAGGCUGAAAUUCGCCUCCAUGAAGUUGGAAUCGCUAGUAAUCGCAGGUCAGCCUCACUGCGGUGAAUAUGUUCCCGAGCCUUGUACACACCGCCCGUCAAGCCACCCAAACAGGGUGUACCCGAAAUCGUUGGCUUAACCUUUCGAGGAGAGAGGCGCUGAAGGUACGCUUUGUGAGGAGGACUAAGUCGUAACAAGGUAACC